UAGUGUAAAUAGUGCUGCUGUGAACAUUGGGGUACAUGUAUCUUUUCAAAUUAGAGUUUUUCUCUGGAUAUAUGCCCAGGAGUGGGAUCGCUGGAUCAUACGGCAACUCUAUUUUUACUUUUUUAAGGAAUCUCCAUACUGUUCCGUGUAAGUUCCAUCCUCAUCCUUCAUUACUAAGAAUGGUAACAAGUCAACUGCAUUACUAACCUAGUCUGCACCUCUCAAGGUACCAGCAGGUGGUGCCUAGCCUAAUCAAAACUCAUAUUUAGAUGCUAGAAAAUAAGUUUCCUGUUGCACCAGGCCCAGAGCAUUCUAUUACAAGAUAUGCUGAGUGUCUACCCCACAUCCCCUCCUGGGCCAGGCACUAUGGGAGACGUGAAAGAAAUAGAAAGCGUUGGACACAGGCAGAUUGCUGCAGAAAAGAGUAGAUGCAGAGAAUAGCUGGGAAGCUGUCACUGCUAUUCAGGAAGGAGAUGGUAAAGGCCUGGACUAGGCAGCGCUGGCAAAAGCAGGAGAGAAGCAGCAGUUAGGGAGUCACCAGAGGAAGCAUAAAUCAGGCUGAGCAUCACCGCAGAGUGCCAAGAGCACGGGCCGGGUCUGAGCUCUACCACACCGCUGCGUGGCCCCAAGGCCCCGAAUCGUUCCGAGCCUCGGUUUUUCACCUGUGAGAUUAGGACAGUAACACUGUCCCCACCUCACCGGAUUAUUGAGAAGAUCCAUGAGCUAGCAUCCAGCCCCUGGCCUGUCUCAUCGUGAGUUUAAUGGCUGGAAACCAAGGGCUGAGAGCUGGCAACGGAGGACAGGAAGGCAGGAGUCCUGAGCUGGGAGAGGCUGGGGUCGUUCAGGCUGCACGUGACUCUGAAUUCCUAGAAGAGGCCUGCAGCAGCUGUGGCUAAGGUGAGCAAGCAAACCUGAGACUGCUCGCUCAGUAAGGAAGGCCCUAAAGAUGAAGCUGACACAUCCCUGACCAGACCACACGGAACCCAUGGAAAAUUAGACCUGAAGGUAACAGCACCCACGCCAGUCUCCUGGCUGCUUGGUUACAGAUUUUCAUCCAUUUUUGAGUUGACAAGAGCAGGGAGACUGGUGUCAGAAGCCACUGCUUCUGCUUCACUCUAUGUCAGAGUGUGUCUCUGGGUCCCCUGGAUGGUUAAGUUCAUGGAAAUAGAUGUAUUUUAUUCGACUAUGUAUAUCAAACAGGUUUCCUGCUGAGCUGGAGCCAAAAACAAACAAAAAAAUCAUUCUAUUCACAUUUACUGAGUUCCUCCCAGAGGCCAAGGGCCUGACAGGCACAAGGCUCUCUGUGUUUGUAGAACUGGCAUUGAAGGAGGUCAUGGGAAACUGAGAGAAAGAAGUGACCAGACCGUCUGCCAGGAGCUUCUGGUGAUAAGCUGGCUGGCAUGAGACUGAAUCUUUUUUUUUUUUUUUUUUAACUUUUUGGCCAUACCGCGGGGCACGUGGGAUCUUAGUUCCCGGACAGGGACCGAACCUGUGCCCCCUACAGUGGAAGGGCAGAGUCUUAACUGCUGGACCGCCAGGGAAGUCCCAAGGCUGGAUCUUGAUUACACCACUGGUCUCAGUAGCACAGAAAGAUCUCGGCUCUGCAACAAGGCCUUGGUGAGCUCGCAAGAAAGCAACCGUCUGAUGGAGAACUCUGUGCAGACAGUCAGUAGUGCUGAACUCCAGGCCCACCACGUUUGCCCUGAGGGAAACAGAGGUUCCUCAGGUAAUCUCUCUGCUCAGAAUCAGCCUUAGGGAAGGCUGCUGUGAGAAAGCGGAAUUUGUUUCCCAUUUGUAGUGGGUUGAAUUGCAGCCCCACAAAGACACAUUCAAAUCCUAACGUAACCACCCCACACACACACCUGUGAGUGUGACCUUAUUUGGAAACAAUCUUUGCAGAUGUGACUAAGUGAAGGAUUUUGAGAUAAGAUCAUCCUGGACUUAGGGUGGCCCCUGAAUCCAGUGAUGGUCCUUAUAAGAGAAAGGAGAGGGAAAAUUUGAGACCCAGAGGGGAAGGUCAUGUGAAGACAGAGGCAGAGAUUGGAGCAAUUUGUCUACAAACCAAGGAACCCCAAGGGUUGCCCGCAGCGACGAGAAGCCAGGAGAGAAGCACGGAACAGAUUCUCUCUUAAACCUUCCAGGAGGAACCAACCCUGCCAAUACCUUGAUUUCAGACUCCUGUCCUCCAGAACAGUGAAAGAGUAGAUGUCUGUUGUUUUAAGUCAUGAAGUUUAUUAAUUUGUUACAACAGCCCUAGGAAAUUAAUACACCAUUCAGGUGGAGAAGCCUUGGCAGGUGAGGUUGCCAUGUGCUGGGUGACCUCGGCCGUCCAGCCUGGUCCGUCUGCCCCUGAGGGCCAUGUUCUCCCUCGGCUGCUGACACUCCCUUUGGCAGCUUUUGGUUCACAGUAGCUGAGUAGCGUCGUCAUAUUUUGAUAAUGCUGCUCCCCUUCUCAGAAGCUACCCUGAGUUCCAGGUGAUUCCAAAUCUCAUUUAAAAGCAU